rnacentral:lncRNA from 1 species
UUCCAAACCUUUCAAAACGUUACGGAUGAAGCCACAACGGAUGGAUUCCAUCUAUAUUUCUGUUAGUUGACCGAAAAAUUGAACUAUAACCACAUAUUAAUCAAUUAUAAAAGGGUAAAAUUGUAAUUUUAUAUUUUUCUCACAAAAAAACUUAAAUAAAAAACAACAGAAAAAAGAAGAAAACAAAAUAAAAACGGAAAAAAUAAAAUCUUCUCCUCCUUUACCCCCCCAAAACCGAAAAUCCACCGUCACCACCACCUCACCCAAAAUCGACCACCACCUCCUAACGGCCAUUGGCAUGGCCAUCUUCCAUUAGCACUCAAAACUGACCAUCUCCAAGAGCCUAAUUUCUAAUCUAUAAAAUAGUUUUAUUGCAUCCCCACAUGCCAAUCUACAUUCAUCAAUUGAAUCAAGGCUUUACCUUCAGUUCUUCUCUCUUUACAAAGCCAGGAACUCAAGAACCUGGGUUUUGUUUUUUUUGGGAAAAUGAUUUUGGACAAAGAAGAUUGGGUUUGAGUCAAACUUGAUUUUCCCAGCAAAAAAAUGGAUGUGUAUAUAUAUACACACACACGACGAAAAAGCUGUUAACAACUUAACAAGCAGCAAGACACAGUUAGUAUCUGAAAAAUUGAUCCACUUCUUCUUCUUCUUUUUGUCGACCUCGGCUUUCAGAUUCCACAUUUUUUUUUUGGUUAUUUAAUCUUGACAAAUUAUGUAGCAAGUUUUUCUGAACGCAUUUGGCGUGGUUAUAGCAAAUCGAGAACCAAGAGGGUUCUGAAGGGUAUUGAUGUUAACCGCUUGCCUGCAGCGGCAGACUUGGAGGAGGAGGAGGUCGGAGUGUCUACGCCCAACAGUACAAUCUCAAGCGUAAGUGGGAAAACGGAGCGAAAGAGAACCUACUGACGGCGAUUAGCACGAACUCUAUAGGGAUUAUUGCCAAGGCAUCAGGGAUAAGGAAGAUGGUGACGGAUCCCAGAAAAAGCUAGGGCUUUCAAAAGAUGGCCAUUUUUGAGUGCUAAUGGAAGAUGGCGAUGUCGGUGGAUUUUCGAUUUUGGGUUAGGGAUUGGGGUUGGGGUUGGGGUUGGGGUGGGGUUGGGAGUGGGAGU